UGAGGAAUAAGCCACGGCUAAUUCCGUGCCAGCAGCCGCGGUAAUACGGGAGUGGCAAGCGUUAUCCGGAAUUAUUGGGCGUAAAGCGUCCGCAGGCGGCCUUGUAAGUCUGUCGUUAAAGCGUGGAGCUUAACUCCAUUUCAGCGAUGGAAACUACAAGGCUUGAGUGUGGUAGGGGCAGAGGGAAUUCCCGGUGUAGCGGUGAAAUGCGUAGAUAUCGGGAAGAACACCAGUGGCGAAGGCGCUCUGCUGGGCCAUAACUGACGCUCAUGGACGAAAGCCAGGGGAGCGAAAGGGAUUAGAUACCCCUGUAGUCCUGGCCGUAAACGAUGAACACUAGGUGUCGGGGGAAUCGACCCCCUCGGUGUCGUAGCUAACGCGUUAAGUGUUCCGCCUGGGGAGUACGCACGCAAGUGUGAAACUCAAAGGAAUUGACGGGGCCCGCACAAGCGGUGGAGUAUGUGGUUUAAUUCGAUGCAACGCGAAGAACCUUACCAGGGUUUGACAUCCUGCGAAUCCCUUGGAAACGAGGGAGUGCCUUCGGGAGCGCAGAGACAGGUGGUGCAUGGCUGUCGUCAGCUCGUGUCGUGAGAUGUUGGGUUAAGUCCCGCAACGAGCGCAACCCACGUCUUUAGUUGCCAGCAUUCAGUUGGGCACUCUAGAGAGACCGCCGGUGAUAAACCGGAGGAAGGUGUGGAUGACGUCAAGUCAUCAUGCCCCUUACAUCCUGGGCUACACACGUACUACAAUGCUACGGACAAAGGGUUGCAAGCUCGCGAGAGUUAGCUAAUCCCAUAAACCGUGGCUCAGUUCAGAUCGUAGGCUGCAACUCGCCUACGUGAAGGAGGAAUCGCUAGUAAUCGCAGGUCAGCAUACUGCGGUGAAUACGUUCCCGGGCCUUGUACACACCGCCCGUCACACCAUGGAA
rnacentral:misc_RNA from 1 species